AUUGAACGCUGGCGGCAGGCUUAACACAUGCAAGUCGAGCGGGGUGAGGUGCUUCGGUACUGAUCCUAGCGGCGGACGGGUGAGUAAUGCUUAGGAAUCUGCCAUUUAGUGGGGGACAACAUUCCGAAAGGAAUGCUAAUACCGCAUACGUCCUACGGGAGAAAGCAGGGGAUCUUCGGACCUUGCGCUAAAUGAUGAGCCUAAGUCGGAUUAGCUAGUUGGUGGGGUAAAGGCCUACCAAGGCGACGAUCUGCAGCGGGUCUGAGAGGAUGAUCCGCCACACUGGGACUGAGACACGGCCCAGACUCCUACGGGAGGCAGCAGUGGGGAAUAUUGGACAAUGGGCGGAAGCCUGAUCCAGCCAUGCCGCGUGUGUGAAGAAGGCCUUUUGGUUGUAAAGCACUUUAAGCGAGGAGGAGGCUACCUGGAUUAAUACUCUAGGAUAGUGGACGUUACUCGCAGAAUAAGCACCGGCUAACUCUGUGCCAGCAGCCGCAGUAAAAC
rnacentral:rRNA from 1 species